AAAGGGUAUCAUGGCCCCUGAGCAAGGAUGACACACAAAUCUGUGAUGCAUUCCAUAUUUUU
ensembl:snRNA U6 U6 spliceosomal RNA